CUCAGAUCUUAAAUUUUUUGGAAUUACUUUGUUCAGAAAGCAUUGAUGAUUGCUAGUUCAAGAGUGAUUUACAGAUGGAAGCAAUCAUGAUUUACAGAUGGCAGCAAGUUUCAAGUGGAGUGCCAAAACUGGAUAGAUGAGUGCGAAGUGGAGUGCUAUUGCAGGAGAAGGACUAUCUGGCUCUGAUGAUGUACAUUUGGAAUGUCUGAAGUCUAGUUCGGUUCGGUUCUCAGUUUUGGCCUAAAACCCAACCGAAUCAAACUGAACCCACCUCUAACACACAGCCGCACCACUAUAUAUCCCUUCCCUUCUUCCCAAAAUAGGGGAACCAAAAAUAGCGCCGCACAACACAUACAUCACCACACCAGACUAUUCACUCCUCUCCCAUCAAGCACACCACCAUUCCACCAUUCCCUCUAUCUUUUUCAUUUUUCUUUCAUUUCUCUCACUUCCUCUCAUCAAAUCCUCAUCAAUUUCUAAAGAGAUUUCAAGAGACAUCAAGAGUUGAGA